rnacentral:rRNA from 1 species
UACGAAGGGUGCAAGCGUUAAUCGGAAUUACUGGGCGUAAAGGGUGCGUAGGCGGUUCGUUAAGUCUGUCGUGAAAUCCCCGGGCUCAACCUGGGAAUGGCGAUGGAUACUGGCGAGCUAGAGUGGUGUCAGAGGAUGGUGGAAUUCCCGGUGUAGCGGUGAAAUGCGUAGAGAUCGGGAGGAACAUCAGUGGCGAAGGCGGCCAUCUGGGACAACACUGACGCUGGAAGCACGAAAGCGUGGGGAGCAAACGGG